GACUCUCGACAACGGAUAUCUCGGCUCUCGCAUCGAUNAAGAACGUAGUGAAAUGCGAUACUUGGUGUGAAUUGCAGAAUCCCGUGAACCAUCGAGUCUUUGAACGCAAGUUGCGCCCGAAGCCGUCAGGCCGAGGGCACGUCUGCCUGGGCGUC
rnacentral:rRNA from 1 species